AGGAAAUUCCUUGUUUUUUCUUUAACCCCGCCUUCGUUUGCUUUUGGGCUUGUUCCUCUGCAGCGAAGCCAGCUGUCAAAACUCCAGCCGGCCGGCUCACCGCCCGUCCGCAGCACCGGAGGCAGGUAAACAGGUGGAGUUUGAAAGGACCAAACAUUGAAUCCCAGUAAAUAUUGUAGGUGGGUUGUUAAUGCAUCUAUCAACACAACCAGUGCAGUUAUUUUUUAGAACUGUAUUUUAUAUCCAAAAGUUUAUUCAAAAGAUUAUAAAUGAGACCAUUUACUACAAAGGAAAAAAAAGGGAAAGCAUAACACACUAGAGUCCAACAUUACAGCUGAUGUUGGCCUAUGACAUAUAAAUCGUUGUCAGCCAACGUGAAAACAUUUUGUUUUUACAGGACAUCUGCAGAGAAAGGUGCUUGAGGUGACUUAGAAUUUUUGACAGAAAAAGGACAUUUCAGUGACGUUUACUGUUUCAGUUUACUCAUUUCAUUAAGGACAAUAAAGGUUCAUUGUUCAUCUGUUAAAUAUCCCGCCUCCAUUAUACAGAUGUCACAAAUGUUAGAUGACCACAAUUGCGGGAUCAUUGCAUGUGUUUACAGUGUGUUUACAUUGCCGCUAUAAGGAUAUUGGAAUUUCUUACCACCUGGUAUCGGUUUCGACAUCAGCCCCAACAGCUGUGUUGUGGGUCGAGCUCUCAUACAAACAAAAUGUCAACAGUCUAAAGGUCAACAAGAUGUUUGGCAUUUAGUGGUUGGCACAAAAGGGGUUUGAAGCCGGUGAUGGAAAUUACUUGAAAUGUAUGGAGAUAUUCUGUAUUACUGUAUUAAGUAUUGUCUGUGUAGCCUGAUAUAGCUUUUCUCUGUAACACAGAGCGCUGUUGUUGUCCAAAAACCAGUAAACACAUCAAUACAUCAUUCUGCUGCACCUCAUGUACAUUAACCUGCUGCAGUAAAUAUCCAACCAAAGCAAAGUUGAGCCUAACACUUCACGUAGUGUGUUCAAGUACAGUAUCAAGGAGGACCGGCUGCAGCUGAUGGGACCCUGGAGGUGACAGCAGGUGUGUUUUUUAGUAUCUCAGCUUUUGCCCCACGGCCCCCGAAACAGGUUAAUCCGGCCAUGGUUCAGCUCUUUGACUCUCAGAGGCAAAUAUUGAACUUUUUACCGCUUCUUACUUUGCAUAUUCAGAUUUUAUGUAGAAGACAUAUCAUCAUUAUUUGCUGACCCAUGAAAUACGAGGAAAGGCGGCUGAGCAGAAAGGCUUCCCGGAAACAAGAACGAUGUUUAGAGAAAUCAGAUAAGGAAGUGAUGUAUUGUUCACAUUAAACAUGGAUUACAUGUGCUGGAAAGGAAAUCAAAUGUCCUGGGAGAUGUUGAGUUGAGAGUUGAGCAGUAAAGUCGAGCAGGACGAAGACUGAGACUUUACUGGUAUCUAUGGUAAAUGAUUGUUUAUUAUUAUUUGCUGCUUGAGAGUAGCUGAGUUGUUUGUAGACAACAUUCUCAAUGAUUUAGCUAAUAAACGGCAGCUUGUAAAUAAGGCUGUAGUGGUUUAUUAUGAAUGGCUCGAUACUGAUAAUGAAUCGAUACUGUACUAUAUA